AUUGAACGCUGGCGGCAGGCCUAACACAUGCAAGUCGAGCGAGCGGGGGACGGGUGAGUAAUGUACGGGGACUGCGCGUUAGAGGGGGAUAACACCUGGAAACGGUAGCUAUUACCGCGUAUUAUCGGAUAACCCAUAUGGGAUUAGCGAGUGGGUGGGGUAAUGGCUCACCUAGGCGACGAUCCCUAGCUGGUCUGAGAGGAUGAUCAGCCACACUGGGACGGAGACACGGCCCGGACUCCUACGGAGGCAGCAGUGGGGAAUAUUGCGCAAUGGGCGCAAGCCUGAUGCAGCCAUGCCGCGUGUAUGAAGAAGGCCCUAGGGUUGUAAAGUACUUUCAGUCGGGAGGCGUUAACGACAGAAGAAGCACCGGCUAACUCCGUGCCAGCAGCCGCGGUAAUAC
rnacentral:rRNA from 1 species